rnacentral:rRNA from 1 species
CCUACGGGUGGCAGCAGUGGGGAAUAUUGGACAAUGGGGGGAACCCUGAUCCAGCCAUGCCGCGUGUGUGAAGAAGGCCCUCGGGUUGUAAAGCACUUUCAGUGAGGAAGAACGCCUGGUGGUUAAUACCCAUCAGGAAAGACAUCACUCACAGAAGAAGCACCGGCUAACUCCGUGCCAGCAGCCGCGGUAAUACGGAGGGUGCGUGCGUUAAUCGGAAUUACUGGGCGUAAAGCGCGCGUAGGUGGCUUGAUAAGCCGGUUGUGAAAGCCCCGGGCUCAACCUGGGAACGGCAUCCGGAACUGUCAAGCUAGAGUGCAGGAGAGGAAGGUAGAAUUCCCGGUGUAGCGGUGAAAUGCGUAGAGAUCGGGAGGAAUACCAGUGGCGAAGGCGGCCUUCUGGACUGACACUGACACUGAGGUGCGAAAGCGUGGGUAGCAAACAGGAUUAGAUACCCCAGUAGUC